rnacentral:rRNA from 1 species
ACGCACGCUGGCGGCGUGCCUAAUACAUGCAAGUCGAGCGGACUGAUUAAGAGCUUGCUCUUAUGACGUUAGCGGCGGACGGGUGAGUAACACGUGGGCAACCUGCCCUGUAGAUCGGGAUAACACCGAGAAAUCGGUGCUAAUACCGGGUAAUAUCUGAGAUCACAUGAUCUUAGGUUAAAAGAUGGCUCCGGCUAUCACUACAGGAUGGGCCCGCGGCGCAUUAGCUAGUUGGUAAGGUAAUGGCUUACCAAGGCGACGAUGCGUAGCCGACCUGAGAGGGUGAUCGGCCACACUGGGACUGAGACACGGCCCAGACUCCUACGGGAGGCAGCAGUAGGGAAUCUUCCGCAAUGGACGAAAGUCUGACGGAGCAACGCCGCGUGAGUGAUGAAGGGUUUCGGCUCGUAAAGCUCUGUUGUUAGGGAAGAAACAGUACCGAACGAACUAGGUCGGUACCUUGACGGUACCUAACCAGAAAGCCACGGCUAACUACGUG